GGGCCCGCACAAGCGGAGGAACAUGUGGUUUAAUUCGAUGAUACGCGAGGAACCUUACCCGGGCUUGAACUGGAACAGACGAAUUUGGAGACAGAUUUUCUUAGCAAUAAGAUGUUUCAGAGGUGCUGCAUGGUUGUCGUCAGCUCGUGCCGUGAGGUGUCGGCUUAAGUGCCAUAACGAGCGCAACCCUUGCUGUCAGUUGCCAUCAGGUAAAGCUGGGCACUCUGGCGGGACUGCCAUCGUAAGAUGUGAGGAAGGUGGGGAUGACGUCAAAUCAGCACGGCCCUUAUGUCCGGGGCUACACACGUGUUACAAUGGGGGGUACAGCAGGCAGCUACCGCGCGAGCGGAUGCCAAUCCUUUAAACCCCUUCUCAGUUCGGAUUGAAGUCUGAAACCCGACUUCAUGAAGCUGGAUUCGCUAGUAAUCGCGCAUCAGCCAUGGCGCGGUGAAUACGUUCCCGGGCCUU
rnacentral:rRNA from 1 species